rnacentral:rRNA from 1 species
GAUGAACGCUGGCGGCGUGCCUAAUACAUGCAAGUCGAACGGAAAGACCCGGCGCUUGCGGGUCUCACGUUAGCGGAACGCGGGUGAGUAACACGUGGAUCCCCUCCUUAUAUGUCGGGUAUCACUUGGAAAAACGGGCGAUAAUAGCGGAUAAUAUAUUGCACCGCAUGGUUCGAUAGUAAGAUACGGUUUUUCUGUCACUUAUAGAUGCAUACGAGCCGCAUUAGCUAGUAGGUAAGGUAACGGCUUAACAAGGCAACGAUGCGUGACCGACUGGAGAGGGUGAUAGGCCACAUGGGAACUUGGACACGGUCCAGACUCCUACGGGAGGCAGCAGUAGGGAAUCUUCCGCAAUGGGCGAAAGCCUUACGGAGCAACGCCGCGUGAGUGAUGAAGGUCUUCGGAGCGGAAAACUCUGUUAUUAGGGAAGAACAAAUGUGUAAGGAACUAUGCACGUCUUGACGGUACCUAAUCAGAAAGCCACGGCUAACUACGUG